UACGGAGGGUGCGAGCGUUGUCCGGAAUCACUGGGCGUAAAGGGCGCGUAGGCGGCCUGAUAAGUAGGGGGUGAAAUCCUGCGGCUUAACCGCAGGGCUGCCUUCUAAACUGUCAGGCUUGAGCACAGUAGAGGCAGAUGGAAUUCCCGGUGUAGCGGUGGAAUGCGUAGAGAUCGGGAAGAACAUCAGUGGCGAAGGCGGCCUGCUGGGCUGUUGCUGACGCUGAGGCGCGACAGCGUGGGGAGCAAACAGG
rnacentral:rRNA from 1 species